rnacentral:rRNA from 1 species
AUACGAAGGUGGCGAAUGUUACUCGGAUUCACUGGGCGUAAAGCGUCCGCAGGUGGUUUGUUAAGUCAGAUGUGAAAGCCCCGCGCUCAACGUGGGAAUUGCAUUUGAAACUAGCUGACUAGAAGGCAGGAGAGGUAGGCGGAAUAUCUGGUGUAGAGGUGAAAUUCGUAGAUAUCAGAUGGAACAUCCAUGGCGAAGGCAGCUUACUGGCCUGUACUUGACACUCAGGGACGAAAGCGUGGGGAGC